CAUCAUCAUCCGGAUCUGAUUGAAACAAGAGCCUGAACUGAGCAUACAGCAUUGCCUGCCAGUGUCGGCCCUGUCUUGACUGAACAGAUAGCUGUACUGAAUAGGUUUGGAGUCCCCCUAUCAGUGGCAAAGAUGAUAUUCUUAAUGCAUAUGCUUGUAAGUACAUGAUUUAAUAGUUAUUUUAUGUGAUAGGUUAUAGGAUAGAUUUUGCAUGUUAAUGUGAUAGGUUAUAGGAUAGAUUUUGCAUGUUAAUGUGAUAGGUUAUAGGUUAGAUUUUGCAUGUUGACUAGUCAAUUGUUUAUUAUUGUCACAACCUUAAUUGUUAAAAGCUUCAAAAUAAAAUUGCUAAGUUUGA